rnacentral:pre_miRNA from 1 species
AGUGGAAAUGAUGGGUGGUGUAAUAAUCUUACAUUUAACUUUUUGAGAAACUACCAAACUGUUUCUCAAAGUGGCUAUAUCAUUUUACACUCCCACCAGCAAU